rnacentral:rRNA from 1 species
GACGAACGCUGGCGGCGUGCCUAAUACAUGCAAGUCGAGCGAAGUUUUUCUGGUGCUUGCACUAGAAAAACUUAGCGGCGAACGGGUGAGUAACACGUAAAGAACCUGCCUCAUAGACUGGGACAACUAUUGGAAACGAUAGCUAAUACCGGAUAACAGCAUUAACUGCAUGGUUGAUGUUUGAAAGUUGGUUUUGCUAACACUAUGAGAUGGCUUUGCGGUGCAUUAGCUAGUUGGUGGGGUAAAGGCCUACCAAGGCGACGAUGCAUAGCCGACCUGAGAGGGUGAUCGGCCACACUGGGACUGAGACACGGCCCAGACUCCUACGGGAGGCAGCAGUAGGGAAUCUUCCGCAAUGGGCGAAAGCCUGACGGAGCAACGCCGCGUGAGUGAAGAAGGAUUUCGGUUCGUAAAGCUCUGUUGUUAGGGAAGAAUGAUUAUGUAGUAACUAUACAUA